CCUACGGGGGGCUGCAGUGAGGAAUUUUCGUCAAUGGGGGCAACCCUGAACGAGCAACGCCGCGUGCAGGAUGACGCUUUUCGGAGUGUAAACUGCUUUUCUCGGGGAAGAGAACGGACGGUACCCGAGGAAUCAGCCCCGGCUAACUACGUGCCAGCAGCCGCGGUAAUACGUAGGGGGCGAGCGUUGUCCGGAGUUACUGGGCGUAAAGCGCACGUAGGCGGUCCGGUAAGUUUGGAGUGACAAUUCUCGGCUUAACUGAGAAGGGUCUUCGAAGACUGCCGGACUUGAGGGCUCACGAGGGACACGGAAUUCCGGGUGGAGUGGUGAAAUGCGUAGAGAUCCGGAGGAACACCAAAGGCGAAGGCAGUGUCCUGGGGAGUACCUGACGCUCAGGUGCGAAAGCCAGGGGAGCGAACGGGAUUAGAUACCCCUGUAGUC
rnacentral:rRNA from 1 species